ACUCCUCCCAUGCACACGCACACUGACACAUGUCCACACUCACGCUCACCUCACUUUCAGCUGAGGCCACACUUCACGUUUCCGAGAGAAAGCGGGCGAGGCAGCAGGAGCUCUGAGGGAUAACUGGCUCGUCCGCUUGCCUGUGCCCCGGGGCACCUACAGAGUGGGUACGUGACUUCCGGGGUGUCUGUGAGGGCGUUUCUGGAAGAGCUUCGUGUUUGCAAUGGCGGACUGAACACAGCAGCUGGCCCCUCCCCAAGGUGGGUGGGCCUCGUCCAAUCUGUGGAAGCCGGAACAGGACAAAAAGGUGGAGGGCGUUUGGAUUCUCUCUGCCUGACCCAAGGCAGACAUCCGUUCCCUCUGGCCGUUGGUACUCCUGGUUCUCAGGGAUUCAGACUCUGACUGGCGUCCACUCCAUUGGAUCCCGGCCCUCAGGUCUUGGAACUUGCACUGCCAGCAUUCCUGGGUGUCCGGCUUGCGGACAGCAGAUCGUGGGACUUCUCAGCCUCCAGAAUUGCACGAAGUGUCUCCUUACGAAUCUCUUCCUAUGUACGUGUAUCCUAUUGGCUCUGUUUCUCUGCAGAACCCUGACUAAUGCAAACCCUCUCAUCUCACAGCAGUGCAUGUACAAACCCACUCACAUCUUCCCCUCCCCUGCCUUCCCUACCGCAAGUUCCCUCCGACCAGAGGCCAAUCCCGCUGCGGUGCCCCGGACCCACCCUCUGCACCAGCCUUCCUUCUUGUUUUCUAAAAGCUCGCGUUUUCUGUGGGCUUCCAAGGCUGCUCUUCAGUAUCUUUACGUCAGAGCCUCCCAGCUCCUUCCCCUCUCUCAAAAGCGUUUUCACAGGGACUGUAGGCUCCUUCCCUCCCCUUGAUAACCAAGUACUAUGCCCCAGGUUCUUACCUCACAGCCCAAAGUUGUCCUAAGUCGGGCCCUGACCUGAGUGUCUCCAAAUCCAGCAGGCCGUCUGCUCUCCUGUGACAUGCAGCAUCCCACGGCUUUUCCUAAAAGACCCCCUCUGUCAGCUUUGCUGUCACCCACCCUCCAGGGCUCUCUCUUACAGGUCUGCCCUUUGCUAGCAUCUUAGCCUCUCCACCUCCCGGUGGUCCUGUCUGCGAUGGACCCCCUCCAUGUGUCCCAAGGCCCUCCAAAGGAACAGGUCUGUAUCAGGUGCAAUUAGAUUGAGGUGCAAUGCAAGGGCUUGAAUUGCAGAGAGGUUCAUUUUUCUUUUUGUAGAAAAGUCUGGGACCAGCUGUCAGAGACUGAUUUGGCCACUCCAUGGUCACCAGGACCAGGCUGUGUCCAUCUUUUCUGUUCUGACCUUUUUCACAUGGGCCAUUGUCCAUGUCACCGCUGGUCACCAGCUGCAGCAGUCGCAUUCUUGCUCCGGGCAGCAGGAAGAAGGUGAGACCAGAAGGCAGAGGGGGCUGGUCCUGCCUGGUCAGCCCCCAGGGGGCUUUGCCCAGACACCCCUUCCCCACCCAUGGCUCUGCUGAUUUCUCUAUAGCUGCCACCCUCUGAAAAGGGAGCUGGCAGAGUAGUUCUUAGACAUGGCACCUGGCCACCUCUGUGGCUGAAGAAGAAGGGGGUUGAGGAUUGGGGUACACACCUGUCAGUCUCCAUGCAAUGCCCCAAAGUGGACCACUGACCCCACACCACGCUGUUCUCCUCUGAGUUUUCUCACCUCUGUCCAAAUGGCUGCAGAAGCCAAAAGCCCCAGAGCCCAGCUCCCCUUCCCUCCUUUCUCUUCCAUCCUUCCAUCCUUCCAUGAGCCUGCCCCUCAUCCUCCUCAGGGCUGGAACUGGCUGCCGGAUUCCUCCCUGGCUCCGUGGGGGCUGGCUCAGCAAUCUGAGCUGCCGAUGGCUCUGUGGUCCAGCUGGGAGGAUUCAUGCCCCAUUGGGGCUGAGAGGAAUGAGGUGAGGGCUGUGGGGUUUGCCCAGAAUCUCCUGAAAUAUCGGGCCCAGGAACUACAGCAGGACUCUCAUUCCGCCUUCUGGCCACUGUUGGGGGUGACACUGGCAGGAUCCAGGGGCUCUGGAAAGCUCCAGGGGAAAUUUGAGGCAUAACCCAGCUUCUCUGAGACGGAACUCAGGGAGGAUCCAGCUCAAUCCUACAGAGGCGACCCCAAGGAAGGACCUGCCCAGGGUCACUUGGAGAGCUGGGCGGGAGGAGGGAGAAACCUCCCCCGUUCAGAGUGACAAAGCCCCCCUUGCCUCAGGGAUGGCUGAGAUCCAAGUCCUCAAAACACGCCGCCAUCUGGAGGGUGUGAGAGCGAGGUCCGUCCUCAGCAUGGACGCUGCAGUGCACACUGUUCCGUGCCAGGUGCUGGCUGACCCUGCCCUGUGGGAGGUGAUGGACAGGCACACAGGGGGAGCCCCGCAAACAAGGGGCCCUGUUACAGCAGAGUGGGAGAGCGCCUGGUAGGACGCCAAGCACCGUGGCCGGGCUGCAGAGAGGCCUGCGGGACUUGUAGACAAGACGUCAUGGAGAAGGCGGAGCUCCCAUGGGCCUUGCAGGUUUCACCAAGCAAGAGCGGAGAAGACACAGGCUGGACAAAGGAAGGUGGACGGGACAGCCAGCCGUGCAGCAGCCUCACAGGACACAGCUACCAGACAGAGAGCACCAGCUGACACUCAUUCCUCCAGCACCAGGAAAUGCCACAGCAGAAGAGAGUCUUCAAGAUGGGCCAGACCCACUUCUGCAGCAUGGUUGCUGGGAGCCUGCACAGGCCAGGCAUUUCUCUACAGGUCAGCAGAGCUGCAGCAAGAUCCCAGGUCCUGACCCAAGGCAGUCCUGACCCAUGGUCUAUCCCCACCGGCCCUUCCCUGGAGCUGUGCCUCAGCUGGGGAGGUACUUCUGGAAGGCAGGUGGAGGAGGUAAGCCUCCUUCCCAGCCUGCAAGUCUGUGGUUUAGGUGGCCUAUACUAACUGAUACUCGUACAGGUGCAAUUGAGAACUCACUGAGGCAAAAGGGCCUUUGUCAACCCACAGAAGUGACAAGUCCAAGUGCAGACCAGGCUUCAGGUCCAGUUGCUCUUCAGAACUCAAAAUCCCAUCUCUGCAGGUCUCAGCCAAUCCUGCUCCCGCCUGUUUUUAUUUCCUGCCCAGAGCAAGUACAGAACCGAGGGCCAUCGAUGGGCGAGAAAUCACUGUGCCUCCAAGCUGUAUUUUUCACCGUAACAAGUCAUUACUUCUGUGCCCGGAGUCAUUUCUCAGGAUCUUAAUGCAUUCGUUUAUCAAUCAAUACUUAACUGAUGUCUAUAAAGCAUGUUCAAAAUCAGAGGUGAGAGCAGCUCACCAGGUACCGACUUCGUGUCUGGAGCCACCUUGUUAAGGAGCAACCCUUGGCACGGGUCCCGUGUCUGCACCCUCGGGAGCUCUGGGUGGGUGCACUGGGGUCCUCACAGCCCUUCCCACCACCGCAGAUGGAAAUCUCUACCUGGCAGAGGGGCUCAGUCGUCCCCACCUGGGAGUCUGGGGCCUACCGGCAGCAGAAGGUGCAGUGGCCAAACACAGAGACAUUUCUAUCAUCAGACCUGGUCCCCAGCCUGACUCUGCUGCCCACUUACCCCUGGCCAGGGCGAGUUCAUCGACUGUGCCGAGCCUGGCUGCUUCUCCAGCCUAACAGGAGUCCCCGUCUCGACAGGACUGAGUGGGGUGAAUGCAGCCAAGUGCUCAGCAGAGACUGUCCCACCGGGAAGUGUUCACAAAUAUGGGCUGUUGAACCUGCUGUUGUUAGAUCUAGAUCCAGUUCUGCGACCACGUUCAUGACUUAGAUCAUAACUGAAGUGCGGGCCAGCCGAGGCCGGGCCGUUUAGGGGUUUGGCUGCUAAUUCAAGAAGGACACCUGGGUUUGGAUCCCAGAGUUCCCUCCAGACCCAGAUGUGGCCUCAGGCAGGUGAUGAGCCUGGAGAUGCGGUUUCAUUUUCUGCAGGGUGGUCAAAGGAGAUCUCAGGCUUGUAGGAGACAAAGCACAUCGCCCCGAACUGCUCAGGAGGCGCAGAUUACAGCCACCCUCCUUAUCCACCCCGUCUCCCAUCACAGCCCUCAUGAGUGCUCAAGCAAGGCUCAGGGCCUGAUGGACGUGGCUGCCUCCUCCUAGAGGACAGGCAUGUCUCGGCUGCCUGCACCAGCCAGCGGCCCUUCUCCCCGGCCAGGAGAUCCUCCAAGGAAGGCCAAGGGCCAAGCAGGUAGGCUAGGGAUGGGCUCUGGUACAUGGGCCCCAUUCCCAUGAUUGGAAACUUCCCAGGCGCCAUUUGUCACCUUGACUCGCUGUUUCAAGCCCGGCUCUCCCUGGGGCGCCAGGAGUGGGCCCAGGCCCUUCCGACAGCCGGCCUGCAGCUGUGCUGGUGACUGAUUGGGGAUGAGGCCACUGUCCCUGCCUUCCUGGGAGCCAGGAUGUUGAUUGAAUGGCCAUUUCACUCUCUCCAACAAGCAAGUAACAGUGUAAACUGGGGUCUAAUUUAUCAAAAACAGUCGCUUGUAUUCUGCGUGGCCCAUGUUCUGGGCUGAAACAGCCGCUACCCAGCUCCUGGCCCACGUGCGUGCGAUUUCCUGAUAUUUCAGUUUUAUGGAAGACAUCUCACUGACGAAUGUCUCUUAGUGAACGAUCAUUCUGGAAGCUAUUUUGCCUUCAAAGAGGCUUCUCCUGGAAUGGGCUGGGAGGGGCGGGCACCGUGUUAUAUAUAAAUUCACUGCCAGGAGCGCCCAGCAGGGGAGGGAAUGAGAUCGGCAGGAGAUGAGAAUGAAAUGUGUGCGGCUGCAGCCAAGCCUGUCCUCCCUGUCACCGUCCGAGGGCUGCUGGGAUGGGCGGGAAGGCCAGAUGUGGGACAGGUGGCCCAAGUGACGCCCCCAGCUUCACCACCUGCCACUGCCUGGCCUUGGGCAGCUCACUCCCUCUGGGAGCCUGGGCUUCUCACGGGGCAUAAUGAUUUACAAAUUGCUGCCACUUCUCUGCUUGCUCUCGACCAUCAUUACACGUCAGGCAGGGCUGGGACUGGAGGCUGAGCUGUGUCCCAGCUACGGGUGACCGUGCCAGAGCUGCCAGGGAUCCUGAGGCACAAUGAGAGCCUUCCUUCCACCCACCGUGCGCUUUCUGCCUGUGAUGUGGCCGAGACAUCGCAGGCUGUGGGGUCCUCAGCGCUCAGGCUCCCUGUACUCUCUCUCCCUGCAUACCUGGACCUCCGUUCUCUCUUGCUGGAGGCCUAGAAAAAGUCCCUGGAAUGAAAUCACUCAGGCUCUGGUGCAGACACUGGCACCGCCUGUCCAGGGGGCCCCGGAUAAGUCCCUCCCACUCUCUGGACUCAGGGGCCAUGUCUGCAAAUGAGGCUGGAAAACGAGAUGGUCCCUACAAGGCCCUCUGGUACCUGGAGGGACUGAGUGUCCCAGCCUGGGCCCUGCAGCAGCCCUUCCAUAUCAUGCAUGCAAGGGACUCUGAAUCCCAACCCCACCAUUAGAAGGGCCGCUGUCAGCCAAGAACAGGAUCGUCAUCCCCUCCGUCCCCUGCACAACGGAGCAUAGCUGCCCCUUUCUACCAUCUUUGUUCUAGGUUGAGGUUCUCAAAGGGGAGUCCCAGGCCAGCAGCAUCAGUCCCACCUUGUAGUGUGCUAGAAAUGCAGAUUCUCAGGCCCCUCUGCGGUCUAUAGAAUUCAGAAGUCAGGUGCUGGGGCCCAGGAAUCUACUUUAACAGGCUGCAUUUUCUGCAGCUGCUGGAGCAGAUGACCACAAACUCAGUGACUGCAGAGUGCACGCGCUCAUCACCUUACAGUUGUGUAGGCUGGGAUCCCACUGGGCUAAGACCAAGGUGUUGGGAGGCUGCGUUUCUUGCUGGAUGCUGUAAGGGAGAAGUCGUUUCCUCGUGUUUUUUUAACUUCCUUGGCCCACGGACCUUCCUCCACCUUCAAAGCCAGCAGCCUCGCGUCUUCUGACCUUCCAUUGUCACAUCGUCAUCUGACCCACGUAAGGACCCGUGUGAUUAGGGUGGGCGCACCCGGGUAAUCUUCCCAUCUCAAAGUCCUUGACUGAAUCACAUCUGCAAAGUCCCCUUUGCUACGUAAGGUCACAUGUUCACAAGAUCCAGGGAUUAGGACUUGGACAUUUUUGGAAGCCCAUUGUCCUGCCAACAGCACAAGACCUCCAGGUGAUCCUGAUGUGUAACGCACAGUGAGAGACAAAUGCUCUGAUGGACCAUCAACAGCAGAACGUAAGCAGGGAGAGGGACCCCGCCUUCCUCCCCAAUCUGGCCCUGUGCCUAGCAAAUUAUAGAACUUUUGUAAGCAAAUGAGUUCAUUUGUGAAUAAAUGAACGACCGGUGAGACGAAGAGCUGGGCGUAGCAGCCACAGGUGGGGCUGCCAAAUAAAAUGCAAGAUGCGUGGUUAAAUCUGAAUUUCAGAUAAAUAACAAGUACUUAUGUUUUUGGGGGUUUUUUUGUUUUUUUGUUUUUUUUUUGAGAUGGAGUCUCGUUCUGUCGCCCAGGCUGGAGUGCAGUGGUGUGAUCUUGCCUCACUGCAAGCUCCACCUCCCGGGUUCAAGUGAUUCUCCUGCCUCAGCCUCCUGAGUAGCUGGGAUUACAGGCAUGUGCCACCAUGCCUGGCUAAUUUUUGUAUUUUUAAUAGAGACGGGGUUUCACCAUGUUGGUCAGGCUUGUCUUGAACUCUUGACCUCAGGUGAUCCACCCGCCUCGGCCUCCCAAAGUGCUGGGAUUACAGGCAUGAGCCACCACACCUGGUAACAAGUAGUUUUUUACUACCAGUGUGCCUCUAACAAUAUUUGAGAUAUACUAAAAAAAAAAGUUGUUUUUUAUCUGAAAUUCAAAUUUAGCUGAUAUCCUGUAUUUUUCUUUGUCAAAUGUGGCUUCUCUAAGCAUCAGUCCAGCCAUGGCCCAGGUGGUGAACCUGGAAAUUCAUUCCUCCCUCCAGAACUCUGUUUCCCUGCUCAGUGUUCUAGAAAGCAUCCCCUUCUCUGGCAAACCCUGUCCAAUCUCUCAGGGAAGAUGAGGCCUCCUUCCUCUUCCUGUCCUCCGUUAAUCGAUAUUCCCACCCCAACCCCUCCUAGAAUUUGGUGAUCUGGGGUCUGAAGUCUUCUACCAGGAGCUCAAGCUGAUGGGCUGAGAAGCCCAGUUCUGACGUGAAUUCUGCACCCCUCCUUCGGGAACAAGGAAGACCCAAGCUUGCUUAUCUCUAGAUCCUGCGGGGGGCUUUUGAGAAUCCCUAGUUUUGAGGCUGUGGGAUGGAGCUGCAUGGGAGAGCCAGGAGGAAGACCCUGGCACAGCACGCUCUGAGUAUGGGGUUGCUGCUGGCCCACCCUGUUCCCUCCACACUCUGGAGGAUGUGGAGUGGACGCCAUCAGGGUGCAGCCAUGCAGAACGGCUGGGUCUGUCCCUGUGUCCUCACGCACAGAGCUCUGGAAGGCAGGCAGACGUCCUCACACAUCUGUGAGCCAAAAGGCAAAAAACAAAAGAAGCAAACAAAAAAAUCCACUCCGAUGUUCUUAUGCUUAUGGGUUCUACAGACUUGCAUAUACAUAAUGUAAUGAAAAUUCUUGAUUUCAUCUUCAGAGACAUAAAUGGAAGAAAAUGUACAUAAAAGAGAGUCCACUUAAACAUGUGAUCCUCUCAAAGGAAGAAAAGAACAGGGCUCACUCAUCCACAUCAACCCGGUGAGGCCCGGACACCCCCCACCUCUUCUGCUUAGAGCCCUAUUAUCCUUUGAUCUCCCUAAUAAUGUGUUUCUUUCCUGGUAAUAGGUUUUCAUCAUCCUCACAGCCUAUUGAUUAGAACUCUUUUCCAGGGUUUUGAGAUAUUGGCUAAAAUAAGGGAUGAAAUGAUUCAGUCUUCAGGUGAUGUUUCAAAGGAGGCGUGUUCGUAAUGUCCUCCCGCGACGAGGGACCUGGCCAAGAGAAACUACGCAGGAGGCCCAGAAGGCAGAGCCUGCUCCAGGUCGGCCUCACUGCUGUCCCUUCUGACCUCUCGACAUUUUGGUUUUGGCAUGGUGAAUGGGGCUACCACAGUGGGCCAGCCAGCAUGACCCCCUGACCAGACCUGGAGGCAGGCAGAGGAAAGGAGAGGGCCAGGGAUGGGUGGGUGGCCGGGUGUGUGCCGUUUGCUGAAGUUGAGGCACUGUGGUUCCUGGAAUCCUCAGCCCAGGGACUUCUAAGACACAUCUCUAAGACACAAACAAGAUCUACACCUCUAAGAGGGAAGGAAUGACCGGCCCAUCGCAGGCUGUCUUCGACUGUUGGGGCUCCCAUGACAAAAUGCCAUAGACUUAGGGGCCGAUGAACAACAGCCAUUGGUUUCCCACAGUUCUGGAGGCUAGAAGUCCAAGAGCAAGGCUCCAGCAGAACGUCUGGUGAGGGCCGCUUCCUGAUUCAUAGACGGCACCUCUUUGCUGUGUCCCCGCCUGGUAGAGGGCUGAGGGAUCUCCCUCAGAACUCUUUUAAAAGGGCACUCUCCUCAUUCACCAGUGUUCCACCCUCAGGACCUAAUCACCUCCCAAGGGCCCCACCUUUUAAUACUAUUUAAUACCAUUGCAUUAAGGAUUAGGUUUCAACAUGUGAAACUGCAGGACACACACACUCAGCCCAUAGCAGAUGCCCUGAAGGGGCUGUGAAGUGUCGUGAGUAGAGCCCCAGGAAUGGAGGGUUCUGGAGGGGCACAUAGGUCCAACAGAGCGCAGGCAUAAGGUGGGAAGCCAGAGGGGGCUGUGUGGGCCGGACUGGGUCAAAUCAGGAGGCCUGGAGAUGCCUGGUGAGGAGCCCCGGUCCCACGAUGUAGGGGGCCUGUCGGCACAGGAGUGUAGGCCACGGGCUUGUGGGCAGCCUCCCUCAGGAGGGUGUGGGGCUGAUGAGCAGGUGUGGGCGCAGGUGCAUGCAUCAGGACGUGUCCCCUGCGGAAGCAGCUCCUGUAGGAUCACCUCCUCCACCAGCGACCAGGAAGGACAUUGCAUUUAGACUCUAGGUGAGUCCAGCUUCACUCAUCGCCAGCUGAGGCCUCAUUUUCUCAUCUCUAAGACAUAAACAACCACCCCCUCUUCCCAGGAACACACACACACACGCGCGCGCACACACGUGGUUCUGCGGCUCAUAACUAAAUGUAAUGAAAGGUAAACUAAAGUGCCCCUCCAUGGAAAUCGACCCCAAUUCAGCCUCUAAUCCUGAGAUGCAAGAUUCAGAACCAGUAUGUCAAGGAAAAGUGUUUCUCUGCAUUGAUCCUCGAGGAUACUAAAUGUAUAUUUUAAAAAAUAAAUUCUGUCCCAAGUGUUUGGUGAGACAGAGAGAGAAGCAGCCGCUUCUGAAGUGAGCACAAGGACGUGGCUUUUCUGGAGGCUUCCUCAUUGCAGGACCCAUCCAUCACCUUCAGGGGUUCGAUGAAACCGUUGCAAAUAUGAUCAAUCAUCUUUUUAUUGAAUUAAGACAAAUGGCUGGUUAUUAAUAGGCUAAGACUUAAUGAGGAAAAUGGAUAAUGCCGCACAGGGAAAAGGCAAAGAACUGUGCACACAGCCUCUGCACUUUUUCUAGAAAGAUCUGGAAGUGUCUUCAGUGAGAAAAGCCCCGGGCUGGAUGACCUCUUUGAUUCACACUAAGGACUCAAGGAAGCAAAAACUCCUAGGUUGACCCUUUCUCCACCACCUUCUAUCUGUGUGAUCUUCAGGCAGUGACUUGACCUCUCUGAACUUCUGUCUCUUCACAAAGGUGCUUGGCUUAUGAUGUUGUGCCUGGCAGACGCAGACUGAGAGAAGCAGAGUCCUGGCCUCCAAAAUCUGAGUUGUGUGUGGGACAGAAUGGUGUGCUUCACCUGCGGUUCUGAGGGGGCCGGCGGGAUCAGAUGCUGGCACAGGACAUGGGAAGGGGGUGCGUGUGGGGCAGAGCCGUGCAGCAGGUGCACAGCUGUGCAAGGUCCCCUGAUGGGCCCUCUCUGCUCCAUGUUUCCAGAAAUCCUUGGAAAGGAGCUCAAGUGGCACAGUAUCUGGAGCGUGUUGUGGACUUGGUUGGGAUGCCUGGUGUCUGUUUAUGGCAGCACUUCUGGGGAAACAGAUUGUGUUUAUGUCAGAAAGAAAAGACCAUGUUUCGGGGCAAUCCCUGCAGCUCGUUAGGUCAAAUCAACACCCCCAGCCCAUCUGCCUCCGCAGGGUGCCUCGGCCCCACUCAGUGCCGGCAGACAGGAGCCUCCCAGGGAGCAGCCGAGCUCCAGGGCGGGGGAGCCACCACCGAGCACAAUAGCCAAUCAGCCCCUUCCUAGAAGCAAGUCAGGCUGCCCGGCGUGCUUUCUGUCUGUCGUUCCUGCAGCCUCCACGGGCACCGGCCCAGGUGGUCCCUGGCUGGAUGGUCAGAACUCAGAGCUGUGAGCUGUGGCUGCUGAUUCCCUCCUGAACAACAGGGUCUAGGGAGACAGGCAGACACAGAAACCUCAAGUGAAGUGGGGGCUGCGGGCUGGGGGUGCUGCACGGGGCAGUCAGGGGCACAGCAAAGAGGACGUGACCUCAGGUCCUCGGCAGCAGGGAGGGAAGGCAUGGAGUACAUGCUUUCCUCUGGGAAACACUCAUAUCCGAUUCACAUGAUAUUGUCCGCAGUGCUGAGCCUGGCAGACCUACAUCUUCAUCUUUUUGGUGCGUUAAUGAGGAUUUUUAUUUCUUCUUUAAUGAUUAAUUCCUAAAAUUAUAAUACUUAUGUGAAUAGUACCAAUGCUUAAUAUUUUUGAUAAAAAUUUAAAAAUUGAGCUCCAAAAGGGAUUCACCAAUUAAUAUUUCCAUCAUCAUUAUGCAGAAGUUGCUAUUUACUCACAUCCUUAAUUAUAGAGGAAAGUAUCAAUGAAUGUUUACCAAUUUAAUGACUCAAAUAUUUUCAUAUCUAUAUUUCUCCAUUAUUAGUGACAUUGUGCACUUUUACUUAUGUGUAUUGACGAUUUGUACUUUUACUCUGUGAAUUUCUUUUUCUCUUCUUUUUUUCAACUUUUAUUUUAGAAUUGGAGAGUACAUGUGCAGGUUUGUUAUGAAGUUAUAUUGCGUGAUGCUGAGGUUUGGAGCAUGAGUGAAUCUGUUACCCAGGUACUGAGCAUAGUACCCAAUAGGUAGUUUUCUUUCUACCUUGCCCCCAGGAGUCCCCAGUAUCUAUUUUUCCCAUCUUUGUGUCCAUCUGUACCUAAUGUUUAUCUCCCACUUACAAGUGAGAAAACGUGGUAUUUGGUUUUCUGUUCCUGCAUUAAUUUGCUUAGGAUAAAAGUUUCUAGCUGCAUCCAUGUUGCUGUGAAGGACAUGGUUCCAUUCUUUUUCAUGGCUGUGUAGUAUUCCACGGUGUCUGUGGGUUUUUUUUAAAGGUUGUUUUUGAAGAAUACUUGACAACAUGGAGAAAUUCUCAAUGCGUGAAAAAAAAGUAAAAGGAAAGUAAAAGGGAACAGAAGUAUAUAUAAAGCAUGUUCCAAUAUUGUCCAAAAAUAUUAUUAUUGAUUAUCUGGGAGAAGUUUAUGGGUAUUUAUGCUUUUUUCCAUCUUUGAAAAAUACUCUGAGAAUAUGCAUUAGUUUUAUGAGGAAAGUGCAUGUUAUAAAGCCUAAAGAUGAAUUGUGUCUCCCCACAAAAGAUAGGUUGAGGGACUCAGCCUGUGGCCUGAUUUGGAAGCAGGGUCACUACAGAUGGAAUUAGUUGAGGUGAGGUCGUCCUGGAGUAGGUGAACUCCAAUCCAAGAUGACUCAUGUUUUUGCCAG
rnacentral:lncRNA from 1 species